UACAUGCAACAAAGCCUUUCCCUUGCGGGAAGGGCGCACUUAUUAGAUCAAAACCAAUCGGGACUUGUCCCGUAGUUUUGAUGACUCUGGAUAAUUUUUCUGAUCGCACGGCCAUUGUGUCGGCGACGUAUCUUUCAAAUGUCUGCCCUAUCAACUUAAGAUGGUAGGCGAUUUGCCUACCAUGGUUAUAACGGGUAACGGGGAAUCAGGGUUCGAUUCCGGAGAGGGAGCCUGAGAAAUAGCUACCACAUCCAAGGAAGGCAGCAGGCGCGCAAAUUACCCACUCUCAGAAAGAGGAGGUAGUGACGAAAAAUAACGAUGCGGGACUCUUUCGAGGCCCCGUAAUUGGAAUGAGUACACUUUAAAUCCUUUAACGAGGAUCAAUUGGAGGGCAAGUCUGGUGCCAGCAGCCGCGGUAAUUCCAGCUCCAAUAGCGUAUAUUAAAGUUGUUGCAGUUAAAAAGCUCGUAGUUGGAUCUGAGGAACAGGAUGGAUGGUACACUUUAUGGUGCUACUGUCUGUUCAGCCUACAUAGUCGUGGAUAUCUUAGGUGCUCUUCAUUGAGUGCUUUUGGUGCCCGACGCAUUUACUUUGAAAAAAUUAGAGUGCUUAAAGCAGGCCUUGUGCUUGAAUAGUGUUGCAUGGAAUAAUGGAAUAGGACUUCGAUUCUAUUUUAUUGGUUUUCGGACUCGAAGUAAUGAUUAACAGGGACAGACGGGGGCAUUUGUAUGGCAGCGCUAGAGGUGAAAUUCUUGGACCGUUGCCAGACAAUCUACUGCGAAAGCAUUUGCCAAGAAUGUUUUCACUAAUCAAGAACGAAAGUCAGAGGUUCGAAGACGAUCAGAUACCGUCCUAGUUCUGACCAUAAAUGAUGCCAACUGACGAUCCAUAGCAGUUGCUUGUACGACUCUUUGGGCAGCCCCCGGGAAACCAAAGUUUUUGGGUUCCGGGGGAAGUAUGGUUGCAAAGCUCAAACUUGAAGGAAUUGACGGAAGGGCACCACCAGGAGUGGAGCCUGCGGCUUAAUUUGACUCAACACGGGAAAACUCACCCGGCCCGGACACUGUAAGGAUUGACAGAUUGACAGCUCUUUCUUGAUUUGGUGGUUGGUGGUGCAUGGCCGUUCUUAGUUGGUGGAGCGAUUUGUCUGGUUAAUUCCGAUAACGAGCGAGACUCUGACCUGCUAAAUAGAACGCUUGUAAAAGCAGGUGCAGACUUCUUAGAGGGACUAACGUUGUCUAAACGUAUGAGAAAGAGCAAUAACAGGUCUGUGAUGCCCUUAGAUGUUCGGGGCCGCACGCGCGCUACACUGACAGCAGCAGCUAGUUUGUUCCUGGACUGAAAAGUUUGGGUAACCUGAUUGAAACGCUGUCGUGACAGGGAUCGGGGCUUGUAAUUGUUCCCCGUGAACGAGGAAUUCCCAGUAAGCGCAAGUCAUAAGCUUGUGCUGAUUACGUCCCUGCCCUUUGUACACACCGCCCGUCGCUACUACCGAUUGAAUGGUUUAGU
rnacentral:rRNA from 1 species